CUUGAAGACUCCAAACCGGUAGUUGUGCUCCUCCUCGGUGGCGUAGGUCUUGCCGAACCUGGCCUUGAAGGUGGAGAAGUGGUGCUCGGCGUUGAGCAGGUGAUCUUCGACCUCCGGCACCACCUGACGGAUGAGCAGAUCUUCGGCAUCGUCGAUCACCGCGGCGGUUGCUACGGCGGCGGAGAAGAAGAUGAGAGCCAACAGGAGGAAGGGGCGCGCCUCAGCCAUCUGAUUGGAGAAAAGGAGAGGAAUGGGCAAAUUGAUUGGAAUGGGUUUCGUGCG
rnacentral:lncRNA from 1 species